GUUUUUUAAAGGGGGAAAAAAAAAAAAAAGAAAGGAAAAGAGAAGACGAGCAUCGUAUUUCAAAGAUCCAAGCGGUUUCGCGCGUUCCUCAUUUUUAUGAUCGAGAGUGUCGGUAUCGAGGGAAACAAUGAGACGAGGGAUCAUACGAAUGUUUCUACGAAAACUUUGCGAGGUGCAACUUUCUUCUUUCGCUAUCCGCUUCGAUAAACCCGGACGGGGAACGAUGGAACACAAAAUUCGCUAAGACGAAAGGCGUCCGUCGUUGUUACUGACCGUUCGCAAAAGGAUAAAAGAAGAAACAAAAAACGGGAGAAGAAAAAAGGAGCUGAAAAACAAUGGUCCAUCGCGUAUGGAAGAAUAAGAGAGAAGAGGAAAGAUCCGAACGAUGACGUAGGAGGAGAGAGAAAGGGAUAUUUAAUGUAGCAGCAUGCUUGGAGCUCGCGUUGGCGAGGGUGAGAGAGGGAGAGAGAGACAGGAAGAGAGAGAAGGAGAGAAGAAAAAGAGAAAGAUAUAGUGGUACAAGGAGAGGAGUGGGAGCAGAGCCAAGCUGUCUGCUGACUCUCGCGAUCUCCGAGUGCCGAGGAGGCGAGCGCUCCUACGACGACAUUAAGUAAUAUCUCGAAGUCCUUUCUUCGAACGGCUUCAACACAGCCACACGACGUGCCGCCGACUCGUUUUUCAAGGACAAUGGAUUUAUCCGCGAACGCAUUCGCGCGGAAAAGGCGUCACGCUCGCAUUCCACACGUUGCAGCAUUAUGCCAACAACGUCAAAAGAGAGACUGCUGUUGUCGCUGUUCUCCGGUCUACCUACCGACGUUUUAACGAACGACCUGCGAAAAAGCGUCCUCGAGAUAAUAACGUCACUUGAGAUCUUCUAGCGCGACCUCUCUCUCUCUCUCUCUCUCUCUGCACCCUAUCCUCCCCUAUCGUUUUCUAUCUCACAAGUCUAGCCGAGUCAAGGUACUCAGGGAUAAUAAUGAGAUCUAGGAAACUUCGCGCACACGAUCGUUCGAUUAUCAUUUCUACAUAAAAGAGGAGGAUACGCGCUUGUGGCGCAAAGUCAUCGACGCGGAGGGAGGAGGAUCGACAGGAGCAGGAGCAGGAGCAGGAGCAGGAGUAGCAGCAGCAGCAGCAACAGCAGCAGCAGCAGCAGAAGCAGCAGCAGCAGCAGCAGCAACAGCGAGCACGUCAUCGUCCAAAGUAAUCUGGUCCGUGAGAAGAGAUACUAAACGGACAACGACGAAGAUGACGACGAAGACGACGAUGAUGAUAAGACGAAGGAAGUGGGUCGAAGUGGGAUCUUGGACGAAGAUAAAAAUGAGAAAGAUAUUCGUAAAAACGAGAUAGAUAGAUAGACAGAUAGAAACAGAGAAAGACAGAGGAGAUAGAGAGAGAGAGAGAGACAGAAAGGAUUCUUCCUACCGUCCGC